UGCAACUUUGAAGCUGGAUCCCUUGCUGGCUGCAGGGAAAUGAGAACCCUGCCACUGGUAUUAGGUGGGGAAAUGAUAGCCCCUAGCAUGCUAUAGCAGUGCAGUUGUUAGAACUUUUACAAGUUCUGAGCUGGAAUAGGACACGAGUGGAAGAUGUGCUGUUCUUGACGUCCUUACUUCUGUCCUCAGAAUCAUAUCUUCGCAUCUGAAAGAAGGCAACAGCAUUGAGCAACAAUCUGGGACUCUAUUUGAUAUCUUCCCUUGAGAAGUGUUAAAUGUUGCCAUAAUCUUGACAGUUCAAAAGUUAGUCAUGUGGUUGAUAUUUUACCAAUGAGAUGAAUGUGACUGUAAUAUGGGCAAAUCCCACCUACCAUAAAAGCUGGCAAUACUUGCCUAAUAUUGAAGGAAGGAGACAUUUAGAGCAAGCCAGGAAGCUGGAACACCGGAUCAGGAACAGACACUUCUCCGCAAGUUUAGAGUUUGGUAUUUCUCAAGUCCUGGCCUGAGGGAUGUUUACUCUCAGGUUAUACAAAGUCCCAGCUUGGGUUCUGGAAAAAUUGAACUGACAACUUUGCCUGAAAGAAGUUUCUUGCUAACUCCUAGGAAAGAAGGUGAGAAUGAGGCCACUGACGUCAUCUUGGCUUGGUUUACUUAAGCCUGGGCAAAGAGGGAAAAGGGCA
rnacentral:lncRNA from 1 species